rnacentral:pre_miRNA from 1 species
UUUUCGUUUUUCCUUAUUCAACAUUUGACCAUUCAUCUUAUUUGAAAAAAAUUACGAUUAAUAUUUUUUGUUGAACUCUAGAUAAUAAAACAUGAAUAGUACUUUGUGCUUGACUAAUUUUUUUCAAAUAAGAUGAAUGGUCAAAUGUUGAAUAAGGAAAAAC